CACGUAGGAAGCAAGCGUUAUCCGGAUUUACUGGGCGUAAAGCGUGUGCAGGCGGUUGCGUAAGUUGGAUGUGAAAGCUCCUGGCUUAACUGGGAGAGGUCGUUCAAAACUGCGUAACUGGAGUGCGAAAGAGGGAGGUAGAAUUCCGAGUGUAGUGGUGAAAUGCGUAGAUAUUCGGAGGAAUACCAGAGGCGAAGGCGGCCUCCUGGUUCGCAACUGACGCUGAGACACGAAAGCUAGGGUAGCAAACGGG
rnacentral:rRNA from 1 species